CCGCACCCGCCUACGGAAGAUCCCCAGCGCACAUCGCGUAGUA
rnacentral:misc_RNA from 1 species